UGUUACGUGGACGGAA
rnacentral:sRNA from 1 species